rnacentral:tRNA from 1 species
GAGGGUAUAGCUCAAAGUGAUACAGCACAUGCUUAGCAUGCAUGAGGUCCUGGGUUGAAUCCCUAGUACCUCCC